GACGAACGCUGGCGGCGUGCUUAACACAUGCAAGUCGAACGGAAAGGCACUGCUUUUGUGGGGUGCUCGAGUGGCGAACGGGCGAGUAACACGUGAGUAACCUGCCCUUGACUUUGGGAUAACUUCAGGAAACUGGGGCUAAUACCGGAUAGGAGCUCCUGCUGCAUGGUGGGGGUUGGAAAGUUUCGGCGGUUGGGGAUGGACUCGCGGCUUAUCAGCUUGUUGGUGGGGUAGUGGCUUACCCAGGCUUUGACGGGUAGCCGGCCUGAGAGGGUGACCGGCGACAUUGGGACUGAGAUAGGGCCCAGACUCCUACGGGAGGCAGCAGUGGGGAAUAUUGCACAAUGGGCGGAAGCCUGAUGCAGCAACGCCGCGUGCGUGAUGACGGCCUUUGGGUUGUAAACCGCUUUCGCCUGUGACGAAGCGUGAGUGACGGUAAUGGGUAAAGAAGCACCGGCUAACUACGUG
rnacentral:rRNA from 1 species